ensembl:lncRNA LINC01198 long intergenic non-protein coding RNA 1198
GGGUUUCACCAUAUUGGCCAGGCUGAUCUCGCACUCCUGACCUCGUGAUCUGCCUGCCUCGACCUCCCAAAGUGUUGGGAUUACAGGCGUGAGCCACCGUGCCUGGCCCCUAUGCAACAUUUUUGAUGAAAAAAAACUCAACUGACUUUUGAAGAUAAAAGGAAGAGCCAGAGUGGCCAAAGGAAAUAGCAACACAGAGAACUUAGUCUAUUGAAUGAACAAAUAACUCAUUCACCAACAAGGCUGCUACCUCUUAGGAUCUGCUGGGAACAUGUGGCGUCGGACCCCUGUCAGAGAGUAAAUCUCAAGUAAGGUACCUGCCAUCGGCAGAUUUGAGCUUUCUUCUUGGACACCUAAUACCCACAGUCCUCCAGGCUCCGGUAGACUGCAAAUGACCUGCUUUCUUUCUGUUCCCGGGCUGCGUUUGGACCCCUGUCGGAUAGUAAAUCCCAAGUAAGGUACCUGCCCUCGGCAGAUUUGAGCUUUCUUCUUGGACACCUAAUACCCACAGUCCCCCAGGCUCCGGUAGACUGCAAAUGACCUGCUUUCUUUCUGUUCCCGGGCUGCGUUUGGACCCCUGUCGGACAGUAAAUCCCAAGUAAGGUACCUGCCCUCGGCAGAUUUGAGCUUUCUUCUUGGACACCUAAUACCCACAGUCCUCCAGGCUGUAGAUGAAGGGGUUCAGCAUGGAGGUGAUCACCGUGUACAUCACUGAGGCCACUGCAGCCUUUCUCGGGGAAGAUGACACAUCUGAACUGAGGUACCCUCCAAAGCCUGUUCCGUAAAAUCAGCAAACAACUGACAGGAUAACUUCAGGAAGUGGGUAUUAAUUCUCACGGUAUAAGUGAAGACAUUAAGCACCAGAGUUUAAGUAGCUUGAUCCACUGAAAGAGAUUCAACUGUGUGGAACCUAUGCCGUGGAGAAUUGCUUUCUGCCAUUGUUAUCGUCCAGCAGUUGCCGAAUAGCUCUGACCUGAGCAAAGCAGUGAAACGCGGUGCUGUUGAGUGGGUUGCCACUGCACCUUUUUCAACUACUCUAGUCUUGU